ACCUACCCCAACUGCCAAUACUGUUUCCCUUAUGGAGAUUGUAGUCCUGAAGACCAAAUGCGAAGUCACAGUGAGGGCACAGACAGUGGCACACACUUGCCCUCACAGCAGAACAGGGCCCUCCUGUGUGCUCACUUCCUGUCUCGAUGCCAUGUCCUCGCCUCGCUGCCAGCUCUUCCCUCACUCCUGUACACCAGUGGAUCCUCAAAGAAUCAGGCCGUUUCUCUUGCUUGUGGCUUAGUUCUCUUGCCUCUGGAAGAAAUAGCUACUUCCUUUGGUGACCCAACAUUAUUGCCCUUAGACGACAUUGAAUCUGUGCAUGUGGAAUGUGUCACCUACGACAAAGUAGUCAGCAGGUGAACAAUUUGGUGCGAUUGCUUGCCCUCUCAGUCUAUGAGGCUGCCUUAACAAAAAGGCUAACAGAAGAGUGGCCAAGAAGCUAGAAAUUUAUUCCUCUCACUCCUGAAGUCUGGGAAGACCUAGAUGGAGAUGUCAGCAGACCCCGUCUGUGAGGUCCUCGUGCCAGUAUCAGAGACAGCAGCCUUCUCUCCAUAUCCCCAUGGUGGAGGGGUAAGGCAUGUAGGUCUCUGAAGCCCCUCUUGUCACACUGCUGAUGUCCUGCAUGGGGGAAUUCAUCUGCGUGCCCUCAUUACUCCACAAAGGUCCCACCCUCUCAUACCAAAGCUUGGCAGUGUUAAUUUCAGUAUAUAAAUACAUGUGUGGGCUGUACAGGUGUCUAGACCUAAGCAAUGCUUAUCCAUUGCUUUUUUCCCCUUCUUACAAACUGUUAAUAAUUCUUUAUAUAAUUGGGAGAUUAGCUCAUUGUCAAUGAUGUAAAAUAUAAAUACAUUUUCUCACUCUGC